ensembl:snRNA U6 U6 spliceosomal RNA
AUGCUUGCUUCAGCAGCACGUAUUCUAAAAUUGGAAUGCCACAGAGAAGAUCAGCAUGGCCCCUGCUCAAAUUCAUGUUUUUUUUCUAAGACAUACUCAUUAUUUUU